GUGGGGAAUUUUGGACAAUGGGCGAAAGCCUGAUCCAGCCAUGCCGCGUGCAGGAAGAAGGCGCUACGCGUUGUAAACUGCUUUUAACCGGGAAGAAACCCCAGGACGUGUCCUGGGUUGACGGUACCGGAGGAAUAAGCACCGGCUAACUUCGUGCCAGCAGCCGCGGUAAUACGAAGGGUGCAAGCGUUAUCCGGAUUCAUUGGGUUUAAAGGGUGCGUAGGCGGAGCGUUAAGUCAGUGGUGAAAUCCUGCAGCUUAACUGUAGACUUGCCAUUGAUACUGGCGCUCUUGAGUGCGCUUGAAGUGGGCGGAAUGUGCCGUGUAGCGGUGAAAUGCUUAGAUAUGGCACAGAACACCAAUUGCGAAGGCAGCUCACUAAGGCGAUACUGACGCUGAGGCACGAAAGCGUGGGGAUCGAACAGGAUUAGAAACCCUAGUAGUCC
rnacentral:rRNA from 1 species